rnacentral:rRNA from 1 species
AGUGUAGGCGGUUACUUAAGGCGGAUGUGAAAUCCCCGGGCUCAACCUGGGGAUUGCAUUCGAUACUGGGUAGCUAGAGUUUGGUAGAGGUAAGUGGAAUUCCGGGUGUAGCGGUGAAAUGCGUAGAUAUCCGGAGGAACAUCAGUGGCGAAGGCGGCUUACUGGACCAAAACUGACGCUGAGGCUCGAAAGCGUGGGGAGCAAACAGGAUUAGAUACCCUGGUAGUCC